GUUCAGCUGACAUGGUACUCUACUGUAUCUACUCAAGGAUGCCUUUACAUCGGGCUCUAAAAUUGAUCUAAUCAACUCUGAUUUUAUUAGUUUAUGUCAGAGUCAGUUCCUUUGCUAUCAAGCUUCACCAAGCUUGCUCUUAAUGGCAUCAGUUUCUUCACCAAAAAUUUUUUUUUCUAAAAAGAAUAUCUUAAAAUUCAUGAACAUCUCAUGUCCAUCAGGAAGGUAGAAAAAAUAUCUCUAAUAUAAUAUUUAUCAGAUCAAGAUCCAAGCU
rnacentral:lncRNA from 1 species